CAGGUGGCUGAAGCCGGCGGCAGUCUGGAAGCCGAAUGUCGCCUUACUCUUGGAGAGCACAGCCUCAGCGCCUACAAGACUCUGCGUGUGCGGGUUCGCAUGAUAUCUUACGUGGACAACUACCACUCUGCAGGCUCGAAGGUGGCUGACUCUGCACUCCUUUGCUACAUGGUGAUCACCUCACUCUUCCUGAUGGUGUAGUGUGUGCAGAGCCUUAGCAGUGUCCUGUGGUGCUGUCACGGUCCCUUCACAACAACGUCGGGGUCAGCAGGUGUUCCCUUUUAGUGGCGGCUGACUGAUCCCGACCACCCAAUGCCUUCCUGUUGGUGGUGCAGUGUCUUUGGAACUCCGAUAGUGACUGGCAGUGUCUGACAACUGUUUCCUCACUAAGGGUGAUGUCCAACGCGGUGGAGUCGACCCUUUUAUGUGGUGCAUAUUGGCGGCAUUACCUCUCCGCCUGGUGCAAGGUGUGGCCACUCACAGAAUUCCGGUCUGUGGUGGAGUGUGCAGUUAGCGUUCUUGUCGUGUUACAUGUGUAGAGUUGGGGCCAAGUAGAGUAAACCACACUCUUCAUCUAUUACCUUAGGAUACAUUAGAAAUAAGAAAACCCUACAAAUAGUACCGGUUAACACAGUUGUAGGAAACUUAGAUUUUGCUGUGAAUUUAUAAGAUACUAUAUGCUACUUGCCUUAUAUGUUUACUAUAAAUGUUGAAGAGCAGAGAUAUUCUAUCUUGUUCAAUAUUAUUUUCUUAUUUCUCUAUAGGACAUACAAUCGCGUACAAAUACACUUAAUCUAUCUGUCGCUCGCGUGCGUGGGCGUCGACGGCCUGAAAAGUGACCACUGGACCGCCACGUGAUGAUCAGUCACGGCGAGCAGGGACCGACCGUGGCUAAGACCACUAUCACCAUCAUUUCGGCGUGCCAAGCAAUAAUGCCGACAGAGAGAAAGGUAAAGAGUGACAAGCCAUGGACGGAAAACCAGAGGUGUUCCUACAACCCAACACCGGGUGGAGAGGGAUACGCACAGCCAGUAUGUGAGAGUGUGGGGGGACGUUCAGAAGUGAGAAAUAAGUAGGGAGGAAAAAUUCUAAUGACAGGGACGCUGAUUGCAGUUUGAGCCCUACUCUCAAGGGACUCCCGAUCCUGAUGAAUGUCUCCGCGCCGCCGUUGUGGUCACCGGCUCAGGGAAACGCCACCCCGUUGCCGAUAGCAUUUGAUUUUAAGCAUGCUCUACUUUUCCACCUGCCAAGUGUAAUAAGAGGGAGUAGAACGUCAAGGUUUAAUGUACUAGUUCCUUCCACUAUUAUACAUUAAAAAUAUCAUUUACUUUGUAUCCCGGACAAGAUCCAUCACCACUUUGGUGCUGAUUGCAUGGCAGAUGGAGGAUGUAGGAUGGUGGAUGGAAAGUAAUAUUAGGCCGUGCUGGAGGAUGAACAGUAAGGGUACGGAAGUCCUUUCCAUGCGUUCGGCAUCGCGCCUUCCGAACAUUUUGCCUCCAUUGUAGUUUUAUAAAGAAUUACGUGGUUGCCUUUCGGCUCAUAAUAUCAUUACCCAGCUGUGUUUGUCAGGGUAUGAUCAAGUUAAUCCGGAACGAAGACUCGCCGGAAUUUUCACGCCUUCGUUUUCAAACUGCACGAAAAUGAUAAAUGGAGAGAGAGAGAGAGAGAGAGAGAGAGAGAGAGAGAGAGAGAGAGAGAGAGAGAGAGAGAGAGAGAGAGAGAGAGAGAGAGAGAGAGAGAGAAAGAGAGAG